GACGAACGCUGGCGGCGUGCUUAACACAUGCAAGUCGAACGGAAAGGCCCUGCUUUUGUGGGGUGCUCGAGUGGCGAACGGGUGAGUAACACGUGAGUAACCUGCCCUUGACUUUGGGAUAACUUCAGGAAACUGGGGCUAAUACCGGAUAGGAGCUCCUGCUGCAUGGUGGGGGUUGGACAGUUUAGGCGGUUGGGGAUGGACUCGCGGCUUAUCAGCUUGUUGGUGGGGUAGUGGCUUACCAAGGCUUUGACGGGUAGCCGGCCUGAGAGGGUGACCAGCGACAUUGGGACUGAGAUACGGCGCAGACUCCUACGGGAGGCAGCAGUGGGGAGUAUUGCACAAUGGGCGGAAGCGUGAUGCAGCAACGCCGCGUGUGGGAUGACGGCCUUCGGGUUGUAAACCGCUUUCGCCUGUUACGAAGCGGGAGUGACGGUAAUGGGUAAAGAAGCACCGGCUAACUACGUG
rnacentral:rRNA from 1 species